AACUGCCCACUCACCUGGAGUUCGCCCUACAACUCCCUAGCACAAUACGCCAAGGCGUCAUGACGAUCGCCGCCUAGAAUAGUAAUCAAAUCCAGGCUCAGAAUUCAUAUCGAUAAAAUAUAAUAACUUAUAUAAAAUACGUCACUACGUAGUUCGAUCCGGAAGAUCUGCCACUCAGAUUUUAAAUCCAUAACUUCCAGAGGUCCACAAUAUAUCUCUAGGAUAACAUCCUAAAAUUUCAUUACCAUCCAACGGUUGGAUCUCCGUCAAUUUCCAAAACUAAGUGACGGUUAACAUUUUAUAUUAUGGACUUACAAUUCCAAUUCCGGAAGAUCCGUAACUCGGAUUCCCAAUCCGUAAGUUCCAAUAAUCCUCAAAUAUUACGUAUUACAACGUAUCAAAGUUUGGUGACAAUCCAACGGUCGGAUCAUCAAUUCACAUUUUCACCAAAACUAUAAAACGUUAUUCGAACACCUAACCAACAAUCCUUAAUAACUUUCUCAUACGGUGUUCAAUUUAGGUAUAUGAAUAUACCACAGUGAUCUACUCGACGUCACGGACGUCGACAUAUUUUUAAAAUAUUUUAUUUUUAUUUUUUAUUUUACUGUAGCACCAUCUUCUUCCUUGGGUCGCCGGACUGGUUUUUCCGGCGGCCGUUUUUCCGGGCAGUUUUUUCAAAUUGCCAUAACUUUGUCAUUUCUCAACGAAAUCAAGUGAUUCAAAAACGAAAGUUGUAGCCCUUGAAGAGACAAAGAGAAUGGUACCUUGCACAACACCUAGUUCGCCGUGGUUUGGCCGGAAACUGCCUCGAAAGCCUCGGAGGUCGCCGGAAACUGGGUAUUUUUCAAAUGAGUAUAACUUCUUCAAUACUCAACGAAAUUGAGUGAAACAAAAAGGAAAGUUGUAGUACUUGACGAGACGAAGAGAUUGAUACCUACCUCGACUCUUAACUCGCCGGGGAUUCGCCGGAAAAAGCCUCGAAAGCUCCGGCCAAACUUUGAACUUGUCGAUCUCAGUGUUCUUACGUCCAAAAACUUCCCACGAAGCACUCCGAGCUUCCUUGGGACCUCACUAAGCUCACUAUAAGCUUAGAAUUCCCUGAAACACAACAUUUUACGUUCACAUGAACAGUGACCAAAAAUGGAGGUUCGGGUUUCACAUGAUUCCGAAGGUUUCACUUCCUAAAACUAGUACCAAUGAACUCAGAAUGACGAAAGGAUGAAGAUGCAUACCUUAGUUGCCUCGAUCCGUCGAGUUUUGGAGGAUUUGGGUGUAUGCCGUACGUUUUGGGUGAGAGAGAGUGAGAGAGAAAGAGGAAGUCGUGAGGGAGGAGAGAGAAUGAACUGAGAGAGAGACAAGGUACGGGAAAGAGGGAGAAAAUUGAGGGGUGUGGGAUCCUACCCAAUCCCCAACUACAAAAUUCUAACAUAAAUUUAAAUCUAAGUCUCCACUCUACUUACCAAAUUUUAGGAGCUUAGAUAUAACGAACAUAAAAAUUAUACCUUAGCCACGUAUUAGGGGCAUUUUCGUAAUUUCACAUCCUCGGAAUUAAAAAUUCCGGGACGGGCUGUGACAAUCUUCCCUCCUUAUAGAAUUUCGUCCCCGAAAUUCCAACAACCAAUCCAAACAUCUACUCAUACCAACCUCGGUAAAUCUCUCUUAUCCGAUUCUCUUUCUCCCACGUAAUUUUCUUCCACUGAAUGAUUUCCUUCACAAAGCUUUUACCACUUACUCUGUCUUAAUUCUCAAGACUUUCUUUUUCCAAUCCAAAGUCGUCCUUGGUUCCUUAUCAAUUCGAAUCCAAUUUAAUUCUCAAUAGUUGCACCAGAAUCUCAUGUGACGAAUCUGCCACCUAGUGACAACGUAUCGAACCCAAAAUACAUUAAGUACCUUAGCCAACUCUGAAGACAUCACCACUUGUAUGCAACUUUAUUGAUUCCUUUAGUGAUCAAAAAUGGUCUGAUGUGUCUAAAUCUUAUUUUGUCUCCUUUCCAACCCGAAUUAUACUUUUCUAUGGUGAACACUUCGAAAAUAUAAAACCAUUUGUCUUAUACACUCGAUUAGUGGCAUAUCCCUCUGUUAAUCUCUUUUGCCUCAAUCUGCUGACCAAAUAAAACUGUCGAAUGGUAUGAUAAAUCUUAUUACUUUUGGAAUAUUACAGAAGUUAAACAAUGUACUUCGUCCAAAAUUGCUUACUUUAAAUCCUUAGCAUUAGGCACAUACUUUUUGUUUUCUUGUAUCCACAUACCAUUUGAUUCACGAAUCAUGUACUCAUUCUUUUUCCCUUCUUUCUCUGCCUUGGUUAAUUCUUAAAUUUCCUCGUCAAACAUUUAAGUUUCGAGUACGACCUUACCAAAUAGGCCUAACUUGAAAUUUAACAAGUAUAACUUCUUCUCGAUCUUUCAUUCUUAACUUUUCUUCCAUUGGUUUUCAAUCCACAAGAUGAUACUCUUGGCAAACGUGCCAGAUAUUAAUCUUACUGUAGUCUUCUCACCAAGUGCUUCAGCUAGAACAAAUUUUACGAUCACCUUGAUCGUACAAUCAUGUUCAUUAAGCAAUACAAUUCACUUUCGCUGCCUCAUAUCAAAAUCCUUCCAAGUAAUGGAUAUUGAAGACUUUUUGGAUUCGUAAAAAUCUUGCAUUCUUACCAAAUAUAUAAUGUCUCCAUAACUUCACAGUAAGAAUGGUAAUCAUGACUUCCAAGUCACUCGUAGGGUAAUUCAUCUCAUGAGGUUCCAUUUAUCAUGAAACGUAUGCAAUCACCCUAACAUUUGCAUCAACAUGCCUCCAAUACCAUUCAAGAAACAUCACUAAAAAUUUAUGAUUACCACUAUUCUCUGGGAAUACCAAAUUACGUGCAUGAGUGAGGAAAUACUUCAGUUGUUGAAUCAUUUGCUCACAAUUUCCUUCCCACUCAUACAUAACCUCUUUUCUCAACAGUCUCGUUAAUGACAAAGCAAUGACUAAAAAUUCUUUCACAACCAUCCAAAAUAGCCUGGUAAGCUAAGAAAUUCCAAAUCUCAAUUACGACUCGUGGUUGUUCCAAAUUCUCAAUUUCUGCUAUCUUUUAAGAAUUCAUUUGAAUACCUUAAGCAGAUAUAACCAAUCUCAGAAUGCCACUUGAUUCAUCCAACAUUCGCAUUUGCUAAACUUAGCAUACAACCAACGUUCUCUCAAUCUUUGCUUCACCGACUUAAUACGUUUACAUGCUCUGCUCUGGCUCAGAAUAUGCCAGAAUAUCUUCAAUGAAAAUGAUAUCAAUUUAUCAAGGCAUUAUUGGAAUACUUCAUCCAUCAACUCAUAAAACAGCAUGAGUAUCCAUAUAGCAUCACCAAACUUCAUAAAGACUAUAACAAGUCCAGAAAACCAUCUUAUGAUCAACGUCACUUAUAAUAUUCAAUUGGUAGAACCAGAUCUCAAUUCAAUCUUUGAAUCUUCGCAAUUACUUCUGAGCUGGUUAAAUAAACAUCAGUACAUCACCAUGGAUAACGGUUCUCAAUCGUUACCCGACUCCAUUGUCUAUAAUCAAUGAACAAUCUCAAGAUCCAUUUUUCUUCCUCACCAACAAACUGGGCUCCUCAAAAGUGUUGUACUAGGUUGAAUAAAACUUUUAUCAACCAAUUCUCUCAACUGAAUUUCCAAUUCCCUUAACUCAUCCUGAACCAAUCUCCAAUAUAAAUUUAUACCUGGCAACAAAUCAAUAAUGAACCUCAUAUCUCUGCCUGAAGGCAAUCCAGGUAUACUUUCAAGGAAGACAUCAAGAAAAGUCUAACUCUUUCGACAUUAUUCACACUACUCCAAACAACAUCAUUUAGCACCACAUGAGCUAAGUAUUUUUGACAGCCUUUCGAAAACAAUCUCUUUGCUCUCACAGCAUAAAUAACAGCCUGACUCAAUCCAUUUUGCAUACUUACAAAAGUAAUCUCUGUUCAUCCAUAUCGAUGGAAAGUACUGGUUUCCCGUAACAUUCCGUCUUGUCACAAUUAUAACCAACCAAUCUAAUGGAACAGAAUUAACUGAUACAAUAUAUAUUCUAUUAUUAUUAAGCAUUCUAAAUAAGUACAAUACUAACAUAAAAUAAUCUACCGGUUUGCUUGCUUAACGAAUCCACGAAUGAGUUAUUAAUAUUACGGUCUGCAGCCCGCAAUACUGAUAAAUCAUCGUUGUCUCGAUAAGUAGGCAACCACUCUCAAAGAUAUAACAUUACUAUUUUGUUACUCAAUGCAAAAUACAUACACUCGUCUCAACUACAUUUAUUUACUACUCUCUAGGUAAUAACAUACAUAAUAAGAAAUAUAUCAGCCGAAGUCAACUAGAAUGACCAAUACGGCUGAUUCAACUCUUAUCUCAAUAAUACGUCGGCCGGAUCCACUCCGCGUGGUCGGUAUGGCUGAGCCUAUAACUCACCAUUUCUCAUGUGUCAAUCGAAUCCACUUCUCAUGGUCUGUACGACUGAACAUAUAACUCAUCAAAUCUCUCUGUACUCACAGUCAAUCCGACCAAACUACUAAAUUCAUAAACUUGUUGAAUCAACACUAUGAUAUCAUGGAAAAUUGUUGAGUACAACUGAUUCUAGGGACGAUUCACAAUUCUGUGUCCCCUCUGUUCACAUAAACACAUUCAUUAAUUUCACAUUUCCCAAAGUGUUAAUUUUUUUUUUUUUUUUUUUUUUUUUUUUUUUUUUUUUUUUUUUUUUUUUUUUUUUUUUUUUUUUGUACCUGCUGCACAAGGUACAUUUCCUUUACUCGAGACACCUUGUCUCAAAUAUCUGGGAUUACCAGUAUAUCCAUCACUUUUACUCUGACCAGCGACAUUAAAACCUCAGCUGGAAGAAUUAACUCUAGCUUCACUUCUUUCGAAGCUCUGAAUCUUUCUAUAUCCUUGAUAUGACGAAUCAUUGACUUUAUCGUCUUCUUUUGAGUCUCAUUCAUUUCUUAUUCUUCUUUAUUCUCGUUGCUCAUGUUCUCAGAGUCCUCAAGACUCAACAGCAUCUCGCAUACUCCUGAUAAGAAUUACAAUGGAUAGUGGUCACCCAAAAUACCACUUCCCUUUUGCCACCCAGCCUAAAACAACAUAACACCUCCACCAAAUUCACAACAAUAUCUGGAUAGAACGAGGCAAGUCUGAAAACUUUCUAUAAUAUCCCUCGAUCAUCACCUUCCUUGUCUCAUAUUUGUAAACUCUUGUUUACCACCAUCGAUAAAUGCCGGAGGGAUAAACUUUUCCUUUAAACAAGUCCUUAAACAAUUCUCAAUCGACUGAUUCCUAUGGUGACAACAAUUCAUACUCCUGUUUCCACCAGGAUACAAAUUCAUAACCAAAACCAGGUAGUCGUCUCGACCCCUUGUCAGAAGGAAAUUUCCUUUGACUUGCAUAAUCUGAAACAUCUUUUCCAAUUGGUUAAACCGUUACUUCGCUCCCUCAGGUUCAUCAUUUCAUAAGGUGAUUCAAAUUCAACUCAUAACCCAUCUUAAAAUGUCCCUUUUUAUAAUAGACUGAAUCACCAUAAUAAUAGUUUUCCCUAAACCGCUAUAUUAGGGAGACUAAAUUCCUCUAACUACGUGGUUUGCUACGAGGCGGUGUAGUUCUGACAGAAUUCACUAUAAACUUCUCAAGAUGUCCAAGAUUGCAACCAUGCUCUGAUACCAACUGACAUACCCCAUCCCGAAGGAGGGCAUGCUGGCCGUCACGUGAGAGUGACGUAACCAUUUGCACAGUACGGAAGCUUUAAGAUACAAUUUAAGUUGAUACACCCGAAGGUGAGUCCUAAUUUUGUCCAAUCUGUCAGAACACCGUCGAAUUCCUCGUAGUCACCACACCUUUGUGAUUCCUGAACCUGGAGGGGCGCAAAACCAAAAUUGAGUGGGUCAGUAAAACAAUUCUUUUCCAAAUCCAAACAAUUUUCAAAACGUUGUAACCCCUCUCCGUAAAACCUGUAUAUUUUCCCAGAAAUGUAAAAUAUAAAUAUACAUAUAUAUUCUCAAAACUUCAAGUCGUUAACUCAACAUUUUCAUAACAAUUAUGCCAUGCCACAUCAUCUCAACAUUUCUCAUAUUAAUUAUGCCAUGCCACAUCAUCUCAACAGUAAUAAGGUAUGAAUGCAUCAACAUAAUCAUAUCAGGUGCAAGAAAGUAAUCAACCGUAGGCCCUCUAAUAGCCCUGUACGGUUGAACCUAGAGCUCAAAAUCUAUCAUUAUCACUCUACCGGAGUCACCUCUGUGACCCGUCCGGCCUUCUGCACACAAGUUACGCUCUAGUGCUUCUCAUAAGUCAUCUGUGCACAUAAUCUAAGGUCACCCACCAGUCGGAAUCUCACUAACACUCUCGCGACUGGUCUGUCGUACCCACUCCGCGUGGACUGUACGACUAGCAUCUACUUGGAUCCAAGGCGAGCGUGCGAUGCGGUGAAUACUAUAAGCACUAAACCAUGGUGCAGGAUUUGAGCUCAAUAUAUAUCAUCAUCAUAAUAACAGUAAUUAAAUUCUUACCUGUGCGUCCACCGCACCAAUUCAUACAUAUGCAUCAUAAAUCAAUUCUUACCUGUGCGUCCACCGCACCAAUUCAUACAUAUGCAUCAUAUAUUAAUUCAUGCAUGGCAUUUCAACUCACAUUUCUAUAUACUUUUCAUAUCAAUUCUAUGCAUGGUAUUUCACUUCCCGUUUUUCCACAUAACUCAUAUGCAUUUCAUUUUAAACAUAUUUUCAUUUCAAUUCAAUUUCUGGGAAACGUCAAGUAUAUAUAUAUACGGAAAACAAAACUGCCCACUCACCUGGAGUUCGCCCUACAACUCCCUAGCACAAUACGCCAAGGCGUCAUGACGAUCGCCGCCUAGAAUAGUAAUCAAAUCCAGGCUCAGAAUUCAUAUCGAUAAAAUAUAACUUAUAUAAAAUACGUCACUACGUAGUUCGAUCCGGAAGAUCUGCCACUCAGAUUUUAAAUCCAUAACUUCCAGAGGUCCACAAUAUAUCUCUAGGAUAACAUCCUAAAAUUUCAUUACCAUCCAACGGUUGGAUCUCCGUCAAUUUCCAAAACUAAGUGACGGUUAACAUUUUAUAUUAUGGACUUACAAUUCCAAUUCCGGAAGAUCCGUAACUCGGAUUCCCAAUCCGUAAGUUCCAAUAAUCCUCAAAUAUUACGUAUUACAACGUAUCAAAGUUUGGUGACAAUCCAACGGUCGGAUCAUCAAUUCACAUUUUCACCAAAACUAUAAAACGUUAUUCGAACACCUAACCAACAAUCCUUAAUAACUUUCUCAUACGGUGUUCAAUUUAGGUAUAUGAAUAUACCACAGUGAUCUACUCGACGUCACGGACGUCGACAUAUUUUUAAAAUAUUUUUAUUUUUAUUUUUUUAUUUUACUGUAGCACCAUCUUCUUCCUUGGGUCGCCGGACUGGUUUUUCCGGCGGCCGUUUUCCGGGCAGUUUUUCAAAUUGCCAUAACUUUGUCAUUUCUCAACGAAAUCAAGUGAUUCAAAAACGAAAGUUGUAGCCCUUGAAGAGACAAAGAGAAUGGUACCUUGCACAACACCUAGUUCGCCGUGGUUUGGCCGGAAACUGCCUCGAAAGCCUCGGAGGUCGCCGGAAACUGGGUAUUUUUCAAAUGAGUAUAACUUCUUCAAUACUCAACGAAAUUGAGUGAAACAAAAAGGAAAGUUGUAGUACUUGACGAGACGAAGAGAUUGAUACCUAC
rnacentral:lncRNA from 1 species